ACACAGCUGGACAUUCCUUUGCUUACUGAUGGGAGAUUCAUAAGCGCCCGGCCGAGAAACCUAUUUUUGAUGUUUAUAUUUGGAUACUUGCUCUUGGAGCCCACCUGCCCUGCUGGGAGGUGCUGGGAACACCUGGAGAGCCAUGUGCAGCUGUGUGGCCAGCAAUCCCAGCUUUGUUCCCAGCCAGCUGCCAGACCUGGGAGUGAGGAAGCCUUCCAGAAGACCCCAGCCUAGUCCCCAUCUGACAGCGACCUCAUGAGAUAUCCUGAGUGAGAUCUACCCAGCCGAGCCCAAUAAACCCAUGA
rnacentral:lncRNA from 1 species